rnacentral:tRNA from 1 species
GCCUUCGUGGUCAAAACGCUGGGCGCGUAUUCCAGAGGUCCGUGGUUCGAGUCCCGGCGAAGGCA